GUUCAUGCAGGAAAAUCUCCAAACACUGCCUGACUCAGGGGCUUCAGGACUACACUUGUGCACUUAUGCCUGCCCGUAGUAGACUGUAAUGGUGUGUGGUGAAGUGAAGGAAAGUGGGCAGAAGGAGCCGAGCCGCUGGGGGUCUCCGUCUUUGUCACUCUGAUUGAUUGGAUCGUCGGCGAAGAUAAAAUAUCUCAUCCUGCAUUCGGCUGGAACCAGCACCCUUGGGGGAGGAAGGCGAAGAUGAGGAGGGUGGGCUUUGAUCUUGGUCACACACAGCUCAAUCAGAGCAGAGCCUCAGCAUGAGCCUUGAGCGCACUGCUCUACUGCAGCUCCUCUUUUUAAUAUAAGGAUUUACUUCUCUCAGUGGAGGGACAGCUCUCAUCUCCUUAAGCCACACUCGAACUAUCAAAUGUUGAUGCCCAGCAUUCGGUGCGUUUGUUUGUGCACGAGAACAGGCGGGAAUGUUGAGCGUGGUGCCUGUUUAUGCCAGCCUCUGCAGGUUCAUCAAUAAUUCAGCACGGCUCUGUGCUUCUGAGAAUCCCACUUGCGCCUCUGGCUGACGGCUGACUACCAGUAAUGAAGGCAUAACUUUUUUGCGAGGGAAAGUUUUCUCUUCAUAUCUCGCUCUCUCUCUCUCGGCUUCAGGAAUAAAUCCACAUUUUUUAAUCA